rnacentral:misc_RNA from 1 species
ACUUAGUCAUCCCAAGGCGUG